rnacentral:rRNA from 1 species
GACGAACGCUGGCGGCGUGCCUAAUACAUGCAAGUUGAGCGAUGAAGAUUGGUGCUUGCCCCAAUUUGAAGAGCAGCGAACGGGUGAGUAACGCGUGGGGAAUCUGCCUUUGAGCGGGGGACAACAUUUGGAAACGAAUGCUAAUACCGCAUAACAACUUUAAACAUAAGUUUUAAGUUUGAAAGAUGCAAUUGCAUCACUCAAAGAUGAUCCCGCGUUGUAUUAGCUAGUUGGUGAGGUAAAGGCUCACCAAGGCGAUGAUACAUAGCCGACCUGAGAGGGUGAGCGGCCACAUUGGGAAUGAGACACGGCCCAAACUCCUACGGGAGGCAGCAGUAGGGAAUCUUCGGCAAUGGACGAAAGUCUGACCGAGCAACGCCGCGUGAGUGAAGAAGGGUUUCGGAUCGUAAAACUCUGUUGGUAGAGAAGAACGUUGGUGAGAGUGGAAAGCUCAUCAAGUGACGGUAACUACACAGAAAGGGACGGCUAACUACGUG